UUCCCCAGGCAAUGUUUUGGUGUUGGAUUCUGAGUCAGAUGAGAGCUCGGAUUCUAACUCUAUACCUCCUUUUGUGGAGUGUCUGGAUUCGGAUUUGGACUCCGAUGGUCUUGAGAACUGGAUGAUUCUGGGCCGGGACGAACAUGAUGGAGCAUCCAACUGAACCUGUCCUUACCCGAUAACUGUGAGAGAAGGGAAUAUGUACCAGUUCAAGGGAAGGAACAGAAUUGGUCUGUUAUUGGAUAAACAGGCUUAGACCUAUAAUAAAGGGGUUGGCCCAAGGCGUCUUUCAAACCGUUACUACACUGAAAAAUCCAUCACGUGUCACAACUGCAACAAGAUCGGCCACCUUUCCAAAAACUGUCCCACACCGAAGAUGAGACAUUAGAUGUUAGCAAAGUUUGACUUUAAGCAUGGACAUAAUGCCAUCUGCAACCAAGAAAAUGGAUGUCAAGAAAGAAGGUGCCAUGCUGCUCAUUAUGUGGGCUUCAGGGACACUUGGCGAGGACCUGUCCGAACCAUCACUGUUCAAACUGCUCGCUGCCAGGCCACACCUAUGAUGACUGUCUGGAGAGAGCUUACUGGCACAAACGCUGCCACCACUGUGGCACGACCAGACACUUA